rnacentral:rRNA from 1 species
AGUAACGCGUGAGGAACCUGCCUCAAAGAGGGGGACAACAGUUGGAAACGACUGCUAAUACCGCAUAAGCCCACGGCUCGGCAUCGAGCAGAGGGAAUAGGAGUGAUCCGCUUUGAGAUGGCCUCGCGUCCGAUUAGCUGGUUGGUGAGGUAACGGCCCACCAAGGCGACGAUCGGUAGCCGGACUGAGAGGUUGAACGGCCACAUUGGGACUGAGACACGGCCCAG